CUGAUAUGCACAUUUACAACACGCACCGUUCAUGUCUCAACACUCGAUGGCAACUAAUGCAAUUAUAUACCCUGGUAAACAAAUGACAGUUUAGAACCUCCCCCUCUUCUAGAAAACAUCCCUCUGGUUUCAGUAAAGAGGUUUAAAUGACAGUUUAAAACCUCCCCAUCUUCUAGAAAACAUCCCUCUGGUUUCAGUAAAGAGGUUUAAAUGACAGUUAAAAACCUCCCCAUCUUCUAGAAAACAUCCCUCUUGUUGUUUCAGUAAAGAGGUUUAAAUGACAGUUAAAACCUCCCCCUCUUGUUGUUUCAGUAAAGAGGUUUAAAUGACAGUUUAAAACCUCCCCAUCUUCUAGAAAACAUCCCGCUUGUUUCAGUAAAGAGGUUUAAAUGACAGUUAAAACCUCCUCAUCUUGUUGUUUCAGUAAAGAGGUUUAAAUGACAGUUAAAACCUCCCCAUCUUCUAGAAAACAUCCCUCUUGUUGUUUCAGUAAAGAGGUUUAAAUGACAGUUAAAACCUCCCCAUCUUCUAGAAAACAUCCCUCUUGUUGUUUCAGUAAAGAGGUUUAAAUGACAGUUAAAACCUCCCCCUCUUGUUGUUUCAGUAAAGAGGUUUAAAUGACAGUUAAAACCUCCCCCUCUUGUUGUUUCAGUAAAGAGGUUUAAAUGACAGUUAAAACCUCCCCCUCUUGUUGUUUCAGUAAAGAGGUUUAAAUGACAGUUAAAACCUCCCCAUCUUCUAUAAAACAUCCCUCUUGUUGUUUCAGUAAAGAGGUUUAAAUGACAGUUAAAACCUCCCCAUUUCUAUACCAGACAAGGUGUGUUAUGUCUCCACAGUACAGUAGGCAGCAGCAUCAUCAGUCUCAGGGCAGUGUGAUGUGACCCAGACAGAAACACUGUAGUCUCUCUCUCCACUCAGCUCUCCUCUCCUGUCAUCAAAUGGCCACAGCCAAUCCAAGGUCUCAGGGCAAGCACAACAAUAGAUCCACAGUCUAAACUGGCAUUCCACAGUUUCUAGCCAAUAGAAACACAGU